rnacentral:lncRNA from 1 species
UUUUCUUGGGUGCCAUUGGAUGAGGUGCGCAAGUAAAAUUCCUGAUGUUUCUAAAGAUAACAAUUUUUUAUUUGCAAUUUGAGAGAUGAAAACCAAUGAGUUUCCAGAGCCAGCGAUUUCCCCUUUUCUUUAAUUCUCAAUGUCUGCAGGCUGCGGCUUUUGGCUUUUGAGAAUGUUUGUACUCCUUAAUUUGCAACUAGCUAGUUUCUUUGCACUAUUUUUAAUAAACUGUGAAUAUUUUACUUUGGGUACUGCAUUCCCUUGACAUUCUCGUUCAACGUUAUGAAGGCAACCAGGUAGAAAUGCAGCAACAUCAAUUGAAUCCCAUCAAGGAAUUAG